AGUGAACGCUGGCGGUAGGCCUAACACAUGCAAGUCGAACGGCAGCACAGUAAGAGCUUGCUCUUACGGGUGGCGAGUGGCGGACGGGUGAGGAAUACAUCGGAAUCUACUUUUUCGUGGGGGCUAACGUAGGGACACUUACGCUAAUACCGCAUACGACCUACGGGUGAAAGCAGGGGAUCUUCGGCCCUUGCGCGAUUGAAUGAGCCGAUGUCGGAUUAGCUAGUUGGCGGGGUAAAGGCCCACCAAGGCGACGAUCCGUAGCUGGUCUGAGAGGAUGAUCAGCCACACUGGAACUGAGACACGGUCCAGACUCCUACGGGAGGCAGCAGUGGGGAAUAUUGGACAAUGGGCGCAAGCCUGAUCCAGCCAUACCGCGUGUGUGAAGAAGGCCUUCGGGUUGUAAAGCACUUUUGGUGGGAAAGAAAAGCAGCAGGUUAAUACCCCGCUGUUCUGACGGUACCCAAAGAAUAAGCACCGGCUAACUUCGUG
rnacentral:rRNA from 1 species